rnacentral:rRNA from 1 species
GAUGAACGCUAGCUACAGGCUUAACACAUGCAAGUCGAGGGGAAACGGCAUCAAGCGCUUGCGCCUGAUGGACGUCGACCGGCGCACGGGUGAGUAACGCGUAUCCAACCUGCCCCACACUAAGGGAUAACCCGCAGAAAUGUGGACUAAUACCUUAUAUUUUCCACCAAGGGCAUCGUCGAUGGAACAAAGAUUUAUCGGUAUGGGAUGGGGAUGCGUCCGAUUAGGUUGCUGGCGGGGUAACGGCCCACCAAGCCUUCGAUCGGUAGGGGUUCUGAGAGGAAGGUCCCCCACAUAGGAACUGAGACACGGUCCUAACUCCUACGGGAGGCAGCAGUGAGGAAUAUUGGUCAAUGGGCGUGAGCCUGAACCAGCCAAGUAGCGUGCAGGAAGACGGCCCUAUGGGUUGUAAACUGCUUUUAUG